CCCUUAGAUGUUCUGGGCCGCACGCGCGCUACACUGAUGCAUUCAACGAGUUUCUUCAUGGUCCGAGAGGAAUGGGUAACCUUUUGAAAGUGCAUCGUGAUAGGGAUAGACUAUUGCAAUUAUUGGUCUUCAACGAGGAAUUCCUAGUAGACGUAGUUCAUCAGACUGCAUCGAUUACGUCCCUGCCCUUUGUACACACCGCCCGUCGCUCCUACCGAUUGAAUGCUCAGGUGAGCCAUUCGGACUUUCAUCAUGCUGGUUUCCAGUUUUGAUGAAGGAAAGUCUUGCGAACCUUAUCAUUUAGAGGAAGGAGAAGUCGUAACA
rnacentral:rRNA from 1 species